CGACCCAGUAUAGAUACGGGAAAAGCUACAGAAGAAGAAGACUAAUAUUAUUAUCAUUACCUUCUAAUCAAAGCAUAGAUCGAAAGUUUCGACGAAACUAAACAUUUGCCGAUUAAUUAACAUAGCAACUUUAAUUCAUCGUUUUAAAUCCUAGAAGGAAGAAAGAAGUCAACUCAUGUCUUCCUCAGAAGUUAUCCAGUUCCAUAACUGCUAUAUUCUGCGAGAUCAUAAGAUUUUUAAAGAAGACUUAUGGGUACGUGACAAAAAGAUUAUAAAUCCUGAACCAUUAUUCUUUGUGGAGAAGAAACCAUCCAACAUUCAAGUAGAUUGUCGUGGAGCCUUAAUAUCUCCUGGCUUCAUUGACCUUCAAAUCAAUGACAGAUGGUGUUGCUAUGGGCUCCCCACCGGAUCCUAUGCUUGCCAACGUUUUUCUAUGUCACCACGAACAGAACUGUAUUGACAACUGGCCUUUAAGCUUCAAGCCUGUUCUUUACAGAAGGAGGUUUUGGCCUUGAUUUCUCCCAUAAUGUUGAUGAUGUAGAGGGAGGUAUCCAGAAAGUUGCUAAAGGAUUACUUAGAUAUGGAGUGACAUCCUUUUGUCCAACUCUAAUUACUUCACCUUCACAAAUUUAUCACAAGGUAGUAUAUUGUAUUUAAUUAAAAGUGUUUUAUUUUAAAGUUGUAAUAACUUCAUAAAUUAAUUCUUCUUUGUAUAAUAAGGUUUUUUGCAUAUACUGGACUAUAUCCUUAGCUUAA